rnacentral:lncRNA from 1 species
UUUUAUGGAGGAUUCACAUUCUGUAUUAUUUUGAAAACAAGAGAAAGCGGCUUAGCUUGAGGAGAGAGAGAGAGAGAAACGUUUUUCUCUCUUAUUUUCGCUAUUCAUCUUCUCCACCAAGAUCGUUCUAAGUUUUGGUAUGAUGAAUAUUUCUAUUGUGAUUUCUGUUUUAUUCAUGAGUAGCUAAGUUUAUUUGUUA